GGAGGAAAAAAAAUUUAAGUAAAGCAGAUGAAUGGUUUUCUGUAAUAAAAAAAAAGAAAAAAAUCUGAUUAAACAACAACAUUUUAUGCAGCAGUCUUCAUUAGAAUCCAAUUAAUCUUCAGAAUUUGUUUGCGUAUAAAUACCUUCUCAGAAAAAAAAUGAAUUGCUGGCUCGAUAGUUAAAGGAUUUUUGAUGCUAAGCAUAUGCGAUAACUCCAUAGUCGAUGCUCUAAGGCUUGUUUUGUCAUCCAUAAAUAAAGCACAUUUGCAUCCAUUCAGUCAAAUUAACUCCAUUAAAACCGGUGGUUAUAAUUAGCUCCCUUUUCCAGUCUCAUAGUUAAGAUGCUCGGGUGCUUUCCGUUGUGAUUAAAUCCACCAUUGUCUUCCAAUAGCUGGUACUAAUUCUUCCAAGGAAAUAUUCAGUUGAGGUGUUAUUUUAUUCUGCACUGCUGUUAGUUGUUUAAUUUACGCCAAGUCCCUGCAGUGCUUUCCUUUAAGCCAUCCUCUUUGUCUUGCCUUUGAAAUUUACCAAAUCGUACAAGAAAUCAAUACUUAAUUGAUUAUUCACUUUUCUGCAGCUUCAAACAGCAAGCACACAUAAGAUUCUGAAGUAGUCACCCUGUUUCCAUUGCAUGAGGUUUCUUGGUGGCAAGGAUAUACAAGUAUCCAACAGCAGGCACUCCAUGAACUGUGCAGUGGUGUAUGGUGCCAGCCUCCGAUAAGGAAAACGAAGAUACUCUAAUGAAGCAGGAAAUGGUCCCUUGUGAGACAGAUCCAUCUUAAUGCUUUAAACAAAAAAAAAAAAGCUCAGCAGUAGUAAUGAAAUAUACGUAGAAUCUUCCUUUGCAAUUUGUCUUUUGUUUCCUUGCUUACUCUGUCCUGCCCUGUGGCAUGGAAAUGGAGUAUCCAACGUGCCACUGAACUCACAGAACCCCACAUUGGAAAUGGGGGAGAAUGGUACAGUACCUCUGUCGUGCAAUAAGGAUGGCAGGCACGUAUCAUUACGAAAUGUAGGACAAAUUCAAGCGAGUGAGAGGAGAAAGCAGAGCGAGAGACAGAUGGCGGAUCUGGCUACAAGCCAAAGCUAGGGAAAUGAAUUACAAUGCUGAAUAACUGUACUCCAUUGAUUUUACCACUUGUUGCUGUAUGGCAAAAAAAAAAGAGAAAAAAAAAGGGGGGCCUUCAUGUUGACAGGAAUUCCCUUAUGCAUCAUGCC